rnacentral:lncRNA from 1 species
CCUAUGAGAAUUUUGCAGGGUCACUUGGUAGAGUAAACCAGCCCAUAAGAAGGCCUGUAGUGUAGAGCAAUGGCUCUGAGGAAAGGAAAGCAGUGAAUGGGCCAAAGGGUGAUAGCAAGAAACUGGAGGGUCGGCGCUGGAAAUUUCCUCUUAAAGAGUUCAAGCAGACAGGACCUGGAUCCUUGGAUUUUAUUUAUUGUACAAAAAACUUAGCAGCCCAGAAACUGUUGUCUUUGUCCUGUUGCCCUAUUCUCUAUUUUUCCUCUGCAUUCUGUUUGACUUCCCUUAUCAGUAUGACAGGUUCACCAGGGUCUCAAGGUGGACGUGACCUAGACAGUGUGAAGAGCUGUCGCGCCAUGGUUAUUAAUGCCCUGUCAACCUAGACCUGAGUAGGAAUUAGCCAAUGUAGGCCACACCCCUGAAGGCACAGCUAGCUUCAAGAGCCCUGGUCUCUUGGGUCUGAAGUAGAAAGGAAGAUUCCCCGUUUCUAAGAGGAGCCGUGUCCCACCCACCCCUGUAGGUUCUGGUUUCUUGCAGACCUGGUGGACCUUACGUAAACCUUUUGAAAAGUGUCACUGUUACAUGCAUGCUGCUAGAGUGAUGUGACUUGAAAGUGGGAAACAGGGCUUUUAAAUGUUUGACCUCAAAACAAUAUGCAAUAGUCCCUGUAUGUGUGGGUGUGUAUGUGCACGUGCACAUGUGUGUAUGUGAUAUUCACUCUGUCCUCAGAGAUACUUUGUCCUCGUAUUCUUGUGACUUGGGGCUUAAGAGCAGAUAAAUACUUUGUUCAUGUGUCAUCACUAAUCCUCAAAGCCACGUUCUUGCUGUCUUCUGUCUGCUGCAGACUCCAGUUCCUCAUGAAUAUGAGACCUGGAAGAAGGAAGGGUCUUUCAGGACUCUGGGUCAGGAGUCUGUCUGACCUUAAGUGACAGUCACAACUGGAGAUUGAAGGACUGAUUUCUUCAGUGAACAUAAGUGUUUGGAGUAAAAAAGCCAAUUAUUUUUUCAAUUAUAGGAAAGGGAAAAAAAAUCACAAGUCUCUUGUAGGAUCCACUGCCUCUGGGAUUUUAAAGUGGAUCUGUCUCAGCUUGAUUUCUUCUCACCAUUGCUUUGAAGUAGCAAGCUUCAUUCAAAAUAAACAUGUUUGUACUUCCAACGUUAGGUGGACUUGAUUUGAAUUAAGUGUGGCACAGAACAUUUGCAGUAAGUUUGAUGUGAAAUACUAAAUAUUAGGGAUUUGUAGGUGUUGGGCUACAUAGUCAGGCGACACCUAGAGUAAGUGUUAUGGCAGGGGUUGGCCAUCUUGGAUUCCUCUCUGUAGAGUACCUUCCCCAGCGUUUUAGGACAGCCAGACAUCAGCAUCAGUUUGUCCUAAAUUCUGUGCUGGGUGGCCUAUACGAGGCGAAUUUGGAUUUGGUGGGUAUUGGUUGUUUACACUGUAGCACUUUGAGUUUGUCAUUUGGCAGGGGUGACUUAAUUUGAAGGCAGUUAAGUAAGUGUGAGUCUCUUAAAUGGUGCUGUUUGUGACCUUUGAUGGCGGCGUGCAGAGCUGCUUCACUGAUUCACAACCGGACACAAGUCAAGACUUUAAAGCUUCUCUCCACGCGUGACUCACCACCAGACUCUGCCUGAAAACUGUAUAAUGUAACACACAAAAAUGUGGGUUUGUUUUUCCAUAAAACUUUAAUAAAAGCAUCAUGCAGCAAUAAAA